rnacentral:rRNA from 1 species
UUGAGGGGUUAAGGCUCCCAGUAGACGACUGGGUUGAUAGGCCAGAUAUGGAAGCGCCGUAAGGUGUGGAGUUGACUGGUACUAAUAGGCCGAGGGCUUGUCCUCAGUUG